rnacentral:lncRNA from 1 species
UUGUUAGCCACAUUUUCAUCCCAAACACUGUCCUUAAUGAAAAAAAAUUAUCCUUUGUUAUCCACUUUGAGCCUAUUUAGCUUUUAUUCUUUAGCCGGAUGAUAGGGGGUGAUGUAGUAUAUGUGGAUCCUUAUGUGGUGAAUGUUCAAAGUGGGUUGUGAAAAAGAAGGGAUGAUAUUGUGAUACUAUUUAAUCUUAUAAGCUCUAGAAAAGUUGUG